rnacentral:ncRNA from 1 species
UCGAGAGUGCCGGUUGCCAAGGUUUCCGGCAGGGUGACGUGUAAAUUCAGUAACCUACUGGCAGAGUAAAAGGACGCGAGGGGCAGGAUGAGUACCCGUGUUUCUGUUAGUUAAUCGAACCGGUUGCCGGAAUGUUUGCUUAAGUGCAUCCGUUCUGUCAAUUAUUAAAGUGGUUACUUUUUUG